rnacentral:rRNA from 1 species
AUUGAACGCUGGCGGCAUGCUUUACACAUGCAAGUCGAACGGUAACAGGCCGCAAGGUGCUGACGAGUGGCGAACGGGGGCGUAAUGCAUCGGAACGUGCCCAGUCGUGGGGGAUAACUACUCGCAAGAGUAGCUAAUACCGCAUACGAUCUAUGGAUGAAAGCGGGGGACCGUAGGGCCUCGCGCGAUUGGAGCGGCCGAUGUCAGAUGAGGUAGUUGGUGGGGUAAAGGCUCACCAAGCCAACGAUCUGUAGCUGGUCUGAGAGGACGACCAGCCACACUGGGACUGAGACACGGCCCAGACUCCUACGGGAGGCAGCAGUGGGGAAUUUUGGACAAUGGGCGCAAGCCUGAUCCAGCAAUGCCGCGUGCAGGAAGAAGGCCUUCGGGUUGUAAACUGCUUUUGUACGGAACGAAACGGCUCUGGUUAAUACCCGGGGCUAAUGACGGUACCGUAAGAAUAAGCACCGGCUAACUACGUG